rnacentral:lncRNA from 10 species
CCGCCAGGUUGUCCCAGGGCACGCAACACAGUCUGAUAAAUGAUCAGUCAAAUGCACAGAUGUACGUUCCACCUUCCCUGCCCCCAGAGAAGGAAUUUAAACUCAGAUAGAAUAUAGUUAACUUAGUGCACUUUCCUUGAAACGUUUGACAAAUACAGUUGAUUCUUAUUCUCAGUUUAUAGAUGGGAAACAGCUUGGAGAGUUUUCUGUGGUUUAACUGAAUUCUCUUAAUACUAAUAGCCCCCUGGCCAUCCAAUCAACACGUAUUUGCAAGCUGUCAUGAUGCAAAAUCGCUCCUUCUGUUUCAAUGCCCUCUUGUGCUCUUUUUUUUUCCUGCUCCAUCAAUUCAACGGCCGCCUGUGGAACAUCAGCAAAGCUCACUGCUGCAGGUUGCAGGACCCGGCAGACAGCAGUUGCUCAAUAAACAUUUUUCAGUGAGUGAGAGAGGAGACAGUCCUCAUUCUUGAGACCAGUGAAGAGAAGACAAAGGAGCAAACCAUGGCAAGAUCCAUGGGAGGCGCUGUGGUGGGGAACAGCAGCAGGCUCAAAGGAGAGACAAGACAGGUCGCCCAGAGGAGGUGACAGAAGCUGGGCGUUGAAGGUGCUACAGGAGUUUGCCCAGAGGGCAAGAGGAGAAGGACGUUCGGCAAGAGGGGAAGGACAUUCAGCAAGAGGAAAGCACCUCUCAGUGCCCGAGAAACCCCAGCAAGUUCCUCCAAGGAAAGGCGGUUGUUUCCAGCCUGUGAUUCUGCACCGAGGCCACCAGCACCUCCCGAGGGGCCAGCACAUGAACGGCCACUGUCAUGAAGCUGGAGCUGACGAGGGGCACAUCCAGUAACAGCAAAAGAGAAAAUAGGAUGCCUUGUCUUUCUAAAGGACACCUCCCAUCCCCACAGGCCUCAGACUGCUGUCUUCACUGGCUCCUGCUGCCCAGGAAAACCCCUUGCAUGCCAGACUGGGCGGCUGUCCCAGGCUCUCAAGCACAGAGAAACACAGCGAAGCUGAAGUUGAAGAAGUAGCUACAGUUUCCGGGCCUCAAACAAUGGCAAUUAAAAACAAAAAAACUUUUUAUUUGAAAAUAAUUAUAGAUUCACAGGAAGUGGCAAAAACAGUGCAGACUGGCCCCGUGUACCCUUUGCCUAGUUUCCCCCGACGUUUACAUCUUACGUCACGAAAGUACAACAUCAAAACCAGGAAACUGACGUUGGGACAAUCCGCAGACCUUAUUCAGAUUUCAGCAAUGGCGUUUUAGUCACCCGAAAGGGCUCUCAAACACGAUAUGACCAGGAAUCCCAGCUGUGCUCUCCAGAAGGAUCCGCCACGCUUGCCAAUCCACACCACGGCGGUUCCGAAAGCUGCCUCCCCUCUGCCAUCCAUUCCUAAGGCAAGUGGGAAGAAACGUCACCUCCCGCUCCACAAUUUCUCAGGGAAGCCGAGGAGGCCAGCGUGACGGGGGAGCAGAGUGGACAUCCCAGGACACAGCUGCGCCUGCCUGCUCUUUCCCUGUGCUCUGGCGGCCUGUCCUGGGCCUUACACCAACGCGAUGAACAGGGGAAACGGGGUGCUGAGCCUCUGCGUGAAAGGGGGCUUGUUUAGUCUCCUACCUGCCCGCUUAGAAAAUGUUCUCAAAGGUCAGGCACGGUGGUUCAUGCCUGUAAUCCCAGCACUUUGGGAGGCCAAGGCGGCUGGAUUGCUUGAGGCUAGGAGUUCGAGAGCAGCCUGGCCAACAUGGCAAAACCCCGUCUCUACUAAAAAAAACAAAAAAAUUAGCCGGGCACGGCGGCACAUGCCCGAGAUCCCAGCUAUUCGGGAGGCUGAGACACGAGAAUCGCUUGAACCCGGGAGAUGGAGGUUUUGGGGAAAAAAAGAAAAUGUCCUCAGAGUCUGCCCUGCCAUCACCUUGAGAGUGACCUGUGCCCCAGUUUUCUCAUCUGUGUAGUGGGGUUAAGAACAGAACCCACCUCGUAGGUUGAUUAGGCAGGUUCAGUAGGGUGAUAUUUGUAAAGAGCUUGGAACAUGCCAGGUGCAUAAUAACUGUACAUAUGUGUUUGAUAAAUUAAUCAAAAUAAAAUACAAUAUCUGUAAACGAUUUCACAGGAGAGCAAAGCUAGUGCUAAGGCUUUUCCAAAUAGCCUGGAGUGUGUGAGGCUUUUGGAAGCAUGGAGGUCUUUGACAGAGCAUUUAAUUUAUAUGGGGGACGCUUUUUGCGUGCAAAAUUGAUUUGAUAUGCAAAUAAACUGGAGUUGAUUGAAGAUUAUUAACCACAUGCUCUGAAUAGUGGUUGUGUUUGAGAAAAAAACAUCAGUCCUCCCUCCCAAGGGCCUUGUUAAUAAGUCAGGUUUUUCUCCCCGGUCCCUGCCCUCCUCCCUUGCUGGUUUCUCAACACCUAACCAUGCCAGGUCUAUAAAGUAAUUGCAGGUAUAUUUGCAAGGCCGGGGCUGGAUUUGAAUGUACG